rnacentral:rRNA from 1 species
GACGAACGCUGGCGGCACGCCUAACACAUGCAAGUCGAACGGACUUAAAGAGAGCUUGCUCUUUUUAAGUUAGUGGCGGACGGGUGAGUAACACGUGAGCAACCUGCCUUUUCUGAGGGGGAGUAACGUUUGGUAAACGAACGCUAAUACCGCAUAACAUAUAUUUAUCGCAUGAUAGAUAUAUCAAAGGAGCAAUCCGCAGAAAGAUGGGCUCGCGUCUGAUUAGCUAGUUGGUGAGGUAAUGGCUCACCAAGGCAACGAUCAGUAGCCGGACUGAGAGGUUGAACGGCCACAUUGGGACUGAGACACGGCCCAGACUCCUACGGGAGGCAGCAGUGGGGAAGUAUUGCACAAUGGGGGAAACCCGUGAUGCAGCGAUGCCGCGUGGAGGAAGAAGGUUUUUCGGAUUGUAAACUCCUGUCUUCAGGGACGAUAAUGACGGUACCUGAGGAGGAAGCACCGGCUAACUACGUGCCAGCCGCCGCCGUAAU